rnacentral:rRNA from 1 species
GUAAGCAACGUGCCCUGAAACUCGGGGUAUACCGGGGAAACCCGGAGCAAUACCGGAUGUGGUCUGGACCCGGCAUCGGGAUCAGAUUAAACGGUUUUUCGCUUCAGGAGCGGCCUACGGCCUAUCAGCUAGUUGGCGGGGUAACGGCCCACCAAGGCUUCGACGGGUAACUGGUCUGAGAGGACGACCAGUCCGAGUGGGACUGAGACACGGCC